GUGCUUGCUUCAGGAACACGUAUACUAAAAUUGAAAUGAUACAGAAAAGAUUAGCAUGGCCCCUGCACAAGGAUGACACACAAAUUUGUGAAGCGUUCUAUAUUUUU